AUUGAACGCUGGCGGCAGGCCUAACACAUGCAAGUCGAGCGGAUGAAGGGAGCUUGCUCCUGGAUUCAGCGGCGGACGGGUGAGUAAUGCCUAGGAAUCUGCCUGGUAGUGGGGGAUAACGUCCGGAAACGGGCGCUAAUACUGCAUACGUCCUGAGGGAGAAAGUGGGGGAUCUUCGGACCUCACGCUAUCAGAUGAGCCUAGGUCGGAUUAGCUAGUUGGUGGGGUAAAGGCCUACCAAGGCGACGAUCCGUACUGGUCUGAGAGGAUGAUCAGUCACACUGGAACUGAGACACGGUCCAGACUCCUACGGGAGGCAGCAGUGGGGAAUAUUGGACAAUGGGCGAAAGCCUGAUGCAGCCAUGCCGCGUGUGUGAAGAAGGUCUUCGGAUUGUAAAGCACUUUAAGUUGGGAGGAAGGGCAGUAAGUUAAUACCUUGCUGUUUUGACGUUACCAACAGAAUAAGCACCGGCUAACUUCGUG
rnacentral:rRNA from 1 species